AGAUUUUCUUGGAGAAAAAAAAUUUUGGAUUUGGCCGACGUAAACCAAUGAUUGAGAGAAGGCAUCUUAUAGAUGCUCGAGGACUUGAAUAUUCUCAGCUGCCAUGCCAUUAUAGUCGCUUGUCAAACACUAUAAUCUUUUCUGGCUCUACGUGCUACAAAAUUUUCGAUCGUUAGAAGUUUCAAGAUUAGACCAACUAUGGAGAAGAGAUCAUGAUCACAGCCGUAGAACUUUAGCAUUGCUAUCUCUAUCCUUGCUCAUAGCCAUCACCCAUUCACCCCAUAUCCGCUUGCAGAGAAACCACGACCAAUUCACUGGCUCACAAUUGUACCCAAUGGAGUGGACCACGAGACCCAUUUGUACGGUUCAAUUUCAUAUCUAACGUUGGAAAUUUGUCAUGCGACCUUCGCUAGGAGGCACUAGUGAAUUCUAUUAUUCCACGCACACUAUACUAACGCCACAACACGAAUUCUUUUAAAUCUCUU
rnacentral:misc_RNA from 1 species